GUUGAACGCUGGCGGCAGGCCUAACACAUGCAAGUCGAGCGGAUGAAGGGGGCUUGCUCUCUGAUUCAGCGGCGGACGGGUGAGUAAUGCCUAGGAAUCUGCCUGGUAGUGGGGGACAACGUUUCGAAAGGAACGCUAAUACCGCAUACGUCCUACGGGAGAAAGCAGGGGACCUUCGGGCCUUGCGCUAUCAGAUGAGCCUAGGUCGGAUUAGCUAGUUGGUGAGGUAAUGGCUCACCAAGGCGACGAUCCGUAACUGGUCUGAGAGGAUGAUCAGUCACACUGGAACUGAGACACGGUCCAGACUCCUACGGGAGGCAGCAGUGGGGAAUAUUGGACAAUGGGCGAAAGCCUGAUCCAGCCAUGCCGCGUGUGUGAAGAAGGUCUUCGGAUUGUAAAGCACUUUAAGUUGGGAGGAAGGGCAGUAGGCUAAUAUCUUGCUGUUUUGACGUUUACCGACAGAAUAAGCACCGGCUAACUUCGUGCC
rnacentral:rRNA from 1 species